CAGAUUAUGGACUGAAGCCUCUACACACUGUGAGCCAAAAUAAACCUCUCCUCCUUUGCAGUCGAGUCGUGGGUGUUGGGGAUUGUGUCUCAGCCACAAGAAGAGUGAUUGAGACAAUGUGCUUAGCACAUUGGGUUCCAUCCCCAGCGAGCGAGCGAGCGAGAGAGAGAGAGAGAGAGAGAGGGAGAGAGAGAGAGGGAGCAAAGAGCAUUUAGCUGGGCAAAGAGGCCCACACCUGUAGCCCCAGCUUCUCAGGGGACUGAGGUGGAUCACUUGAGCACAGCAUCUGGAGGCCAGCCUGGGCGACAGAGCCAGACCACCACUUAUGAAUGAGUGAAUGAUUGACUGCACUGAUACCCUGCUGUAAAAGAAUAAAUAAAAGCACCUGUUACCCAAGGGUUUUUCUUAGACAUGAGAGCGCCUUCAAGGCACCUGCAGCUCAGGACACAGCCCUUCCAGCCACGUGCAGACAUCCUGGACCUGGGGCAGUCGCCGGCCCACUAAUCAGUUCCCAGGGCCCUUCCAUCCCAGCAUUAGCCCAGUGUCUGCUUGGUGCCAAGCUCCAGAGUGUCUGCAGCCACUGAGAUGGCUCUGGUAUCCCCUUUCCUGGGUGUCUUUAGCUGUGCUGUCGUGCCUGAUUCAAAAUGUUCCCCUCCAUGGUCAUUUUGACUUUGGGAAGAGCCAGAAGUUGCACAGUGCCAGAUCUGACCCUGGUGCAACUGCUUCCUUCAGGAGAGCUCCACCAAGCCCUGCCUUCCAAGGAGUGAGAGUCCAGGAUGUUUGGGUUGAGGAGACCCAGGAAAUGCCCUGGCCCAGCCUCUUUCUCCCAGCUGGGCCCCUUUGCACAGGACUCCUUACACUGUCCUGACCAUGCACUCUCCAGUAAGACCAGAAUAGAACGCCUGGCUGUGUUAGGGAAAGAGAAUGUGGGAGAUGCUUUUUAUUUUUUUGCCAUUUUCCAAACACAGUUGUGCUACUUUUAUAUCCAAGGUAUUUGCAUUUUUAAAAAUCAGUCUUUGACCACAGCUUGGAGAAAUUAUUCCCCAGUUGUCCUGAUCAUUGGUGCAGCUCAGGGCAGCCCUCUGUGUGCCCUCUCACGCUCUUCCUGUGCCCCCAGUGUCCAUGCUGGGUUGCUUGCUGCUAGCCUGGCACAAAAGACUAUGGGUAACUUUUCUUCCCAAGUAACCCCACCCAGGCUGCCUGGUGUGUUGUGGCUGCUGGGAACAUAGCAGUGGCUCCCCAGGUCCUGCAGCAGGAUUUCUGAGAGCCCCAGGGCUUCUGCUUGAGGACUGAAGGGAAGGGAAGGCUCCCUACUUUCUGGGCCCUACCUGACCUCUGCUUCCCCUCUCCCCUUAGCACGAUGGCUGAUGGUGAGCCAGCAUCUCCAUCUGAGUUCAGCUCUCCGGUAGAUUAAAGAGGAGGCAAAUUUGUAUUACUCCCAUAGGCAAGAGGCAGAGUUUUUUCUCCCUCCCCUUAAUUCUGAGCUGGCCCUGUGACUGCUUUAUCAAAUGGAAGGCAGCAUUAGUGAUACUGUAACAUGUAAGGUGGCCUGGCUUUGCUUUGGCAUGUUGGGGAGCUCUGAGCCAUGACCUAAGAAUCAGUCACACUGAUGGGGAGACCACAAGGGGUUACCCAACACAUGGAGAAGGAAUGGCCUCAGGACCACACAAAGAGGGUAUGGGAGCCACACAAAGAUGUGGCUCAGUGGUAGAACAUUGCCAAGCAAAAGGAUCUGGGUUCAAUUCCCAGUACCAAAAAACAAACAAAACUCCACAGAGAAGAAGUCCAGCCAGAGCAGCAUUCCAGCAGAGCCCAGCCUUCCAGCUAUCAUCACCAAGCCACCAGACAUGUGAGGGAGUCACUGUGGAUGCUGCAGCUGGUGGCAUCCCACAAUGACAGUAGCACAACCAACAUCACCGGAACAGAAGAGUCGCCCUACUGAGCUCUGUCACCCUACAAAAUGAUGAGAGACCACAACACAGUUGUUUGGGGCUUAACAAAAGCUGGCUCCCACGUAUCACCAACACAGCUGUCUUAAUCACUUUCUCAUCACACUCAGACAAAAUACCCAACACUCAAGAUUUAAAGGAGGAGAGGUUUAUUUU